CCCUUCUGCAUUAACAGACAUCUGCUAUAGUUGAGUGAUCCAGAUUUUCUGUUUCAUGCAAUAAUGUUAGCAGACUAAUACACAGAAGGAGAUUAUUGUGCACUGCAUUGAAAAUGAGAUGAGGUCGAACCUCUUUCUUAAUGUUCAUUGGUCUCUGUCUCAAGCUGCAGUGCCACACAC
rnacentral:snoRNA from 1 species